UACGUAGGCAGCAAGCGUUGUUCGGAGUUACUGGGCGUAAAGAGUAUGUAGGCGGUGUCCUAAGUUCGGUGUGAAAAUCUCCCGGCUCAACUGGGAGGGUGCGCCGAAGACUGGGAUGCUGGAGUCUCGGAGAGGAACGCGGAAUUCCUGGUGUAGCGGUGAAAUGCGCAGAUAUCAGGAGGAACACCGGUGGCGAAGGCGGCCUGCUGGGCAGUUUGCUGACACUGAGGCGCGACAGCGUGGGGAGCAAACAGG
rnacentral:rRNA from 1 species